rnacentral:misc_RNA from 1 species
CACGCUACUGAUUUUCCCGUUUUGCCCCCUUGUUCUGUUACUUUAUUGUCAUAAACGAUAAAUUACAUCCCAAGAGAGCUUACAGGAACAGUGGAAGGCAAAGAAGAAAGGGUUAUUGACUUUGUUGUCAAGUGAAAUAUUCAAUAUCUUGUCAGCAUCACCACAAAACUUAUAAAAAUCAUCUUGAUUGGCAACCCUUCGGAUUCUCCCUAUUUAUCUUUUUAGAGUCAAUCAUCCAGACGGUCAAAAAGAUACUGAAAGCAACAAAAGAAGACCGGAAGUCCUUAAAAUAGUGAUUUCAUUAACGCAACGUGGCCGAAGUCAGGUUUCUGAGUAGUUAAACCGCAUUUACUAUGGUAUGCCAGGAGUCAAAUGAGCAACAUUCUCCAGAAUAAAAAAAUGAUAUGCGUGAUUUUUCACCUCCCUUAGCUGUUUUCUCUUCAACAUUCGUCUACCCACAGGUGCCUUCAAAACAUCCAAUUUGGGCCAUCCAGCAAAAAUGCCAAAUUAAUUGUUCAACUAUUUCACCUCAUCUUGUGAUUACAAAGUUUAAGAUUCUCACAAGUCAUUCGAUCCGAGUCAACCCUCGUCAAUUCUAAACAACUGGCAAACAUAAGCCGUGUGUUACAAGGGCCACCAAAAUCCAAAAAGCUCCAACAGAACCAACUUCACAAAUAUGGUUAAAUUCAUCAGAGUAAAAAGUCUACAAUUUGUCUUCAAAAUUCACAAGUUCAUGAAAAUUCACAUACAAAACAGAAUAUAAUGAAGAUCAAAGUAAUGUUGCUCAUCAGACGUCUGUAGCACACUGCAUUAUCAAAUGAGCACUUUAUUCCUCCUCCAGGAGUUGUCAAGAAUGCUUCCUGCACAAGGUCUCAUAUUAUUGAAAAACUUACAAUCAAAAUUUUGGUAAUACACACCACCGCAAUUGAAAAGGGGAAAGUAGCCAUGAAAUGAACACACAAGUGACAGGAGAAGCACAUACUUUAGGACCUAAGAAUGUUAGGCCUAGCGCUAGUGUUUCAUACAGGGAAAUUGCAAGAAACAAGAGGGAAAUGAAGGAAAAAAGGAUAAGAAGGAAUCUUCAAGAAUUGUAAGUAGAUGUCGGUAGAAAGAGUAAUUGAGAGUUUAUUUUUUGUAACAAUGUUUGUUCCAAAACAUGUCAGAACUCUACCACAUCAAGCUAGCUAAAUUGAUUUUGAAAAAAAAAAAGUCUAACAGCUCAACCAAUUGACCUCCAACUGACUGAUUACCAGUCUUGUUAAAUCAUCCACUUAUUAGAUGACACAGUUUAGUAUCCUAACAUUAUCUUUGUCCUCAGAUGUUACAAAACAGGCCAAUAGAGCAGCAUCUGGUUCUGUCCAUGUACAAAAGUCAGUUUAACAGCAUAUUAUCUGAUUUCCUAACAUAGAACCAUCAUCAUCUUAAACAGCUCACAUCAUAUUAGAACCAUCAUCAUCUUAACCAGCUCACAUCAUAUUAGAACGAUUAUCAUGUGUAACCGACAAAUGCAAAGACCUUUUUUUAAUUAAUUUUUUCUACUUCAAUCGGUUUGGUUAUUCAUCCUCAUUAUCCUGAAUAGAAAUCAUUAGUGACAAAACAAGUAUUUCAAAUUUGACCACAAAAUUCCAUGUCCAUGGGUACUAAGCAGAUUGACCUUCAACAGCAGACUUAUAUCCAUCUACUUGAGAUGCUGUCUUUCUGAUGAACUUUUAUCUCCAGAGCUCUUGGUACCUUGUAAUGAAUUUUCUUCCUGUUAUACGAAUGUCUAGACAACAGUUCAUAAAUGUUUUACUUGUUAUAAAAACUAUAUUAAUUGAUCAACAGUAGAUGAUAGAUAAAAUAUGACAAUUGCCCUUCUAAUGCCUGAUCCAAGGAAUCAAUUUUAACCUUUGCUCUAUCUAUCAAUCCACAUAAUCAAUCACCCAAUAACAGUGGAACAACUACAUAUCUUAGAUAACUGCCCUUAUUAACAAUUAAAACAUAUUUAACACUUUUAGUUCUCGUUGCUAGUUUGCAAUCUUCAUGCUUAAUUGAGAUGAAUAUGGGGAUGAACAAUCAACAAUCGAUUUUAUUACCAUAUGGUUUCUGCAUUUUACGUUAUGGGGUUCAUAGAAAGUCAACCAAACAAUGUAGACAAAAGCAUUUUAUCAAUUACAACGUUAUGAACAAGCAACAAAGCAAAAACCCUAGGCAGUAAUACUGAAAUAAAAUACCAAUAAAUGGCGAAUGUCAUCCAUAUGCCUAAUAAUGGAAAGAAAAAUUACCAGAGAGAAAACCCUAAUUGGGAGAAGGGGCAGAUAGACUUUCCAUGAGCUUCUUAUCCCUUCUCUCCAUGGCCACAUCCCACAUAUCGUUACCGAUGUGCUUCGGCCGGCCAUGAGCGGCUUUGUGGAUGUAAUACUGAGCAUUACCCAUCACACAGAGCAUUCCUGCUAUGAUUCCGAGUGGUAGCGCUGCUUCUAACCACAUCCACGACAUUUUUAUUUUUGUCUGUCAAUAGUUCGAUAGAUCUCCUCUCUUCCCCCUCCUGCUUCUUCCGCUUCCACGAGGUUGAUUUUUG